CCGAAAGGUGACCGACCCUUCGGGGAGCUUGCACAGGUGCUGCAUGGCUGUCGUCAGCUCGUGUCGUGAGAUGUUCGGUUAAGUCCGCUAACGAGCGCAACCCUCGCUGUGUGUUAUAUGUGUCACACGGGACUGCCGGUCUUAAGCCGGAGGAAGGUGGGGAUGAUGUCAAGUCAGCAUGGCCUUUAUAUCCUGGGCUACACACACGCUACAAUGGCCAGCACAGUAGGUUGCUAAGCCGCGAGGUGGAGCCAAUCCAUAAAGCUGGUCUCAGUUCAGAUUGCAGGCUGCAACCCGCCUGCAUGAAGAUGGAGUUGCUAGUAACCGCAGGUCAGCUAUACUGCGGUGAAUACGUUCCCGGGGCUU
rnacentral:rRNA from 1 species